UCCCGUGUGGCUCAGUUGGUAGAGCAUGGUGUUUGCAACGCCAGGGUUGUGGGUUCGAUUCCCAUGAGGGAC
rfam:Salmo salar isolate Sally breed double haploid chromosome ssa20, whole genome shotgun sequence.